AAGAGAUCAUGUAUAAAAAUAGCUGCUAACUAAUUAUUAAAGCGGUUAAAUUCCGUUUAUCUCUUA
rnacentral:tRNA from 1 species